UCCCGAGUAGCGUAGCCUGGUAGCGCACUAGCCUGUGGAGCUGGAUGGCCGGGUUCAAAUCCCGGCUCGGGAC
rnacentral:tRNA from 1 species